rnacentral:rRNA from 1 species
UACGUAGGGGGCAAGCGUUGUCCGGAUUUAUUGGGCGUAAAGAGCGUGUAUGCGGCCAUACAGGUCAGCUGUGAAAACUCGAGGCUCAACCUCGAGACGUCGGUUGAAACCGUAUGGCUAGAGUCCGGAAGAGGAGAGUGGAAUUCCCGGUGUAGCGGUGAAAUGCGCAGAUAUCGGGAAGAACACCCGUGGCGAAGGCGGCUCUCUGGGACGGUACUGACGCUGAGACGCGAAAGCGUGGGGAGCGAACAGG